rnacentral:lncRNA from 1 species
AACAACAAAAACAAAAACAACAACAAAAGAGCAUUAGUAGCUUCAACAGAAAUAGCGUAAAUAAUUAUCUCAACAUAAGAACCAUAAAUAAAAUAGCAUUCAUAUCAUACAACAACAACAACUACCCAGUAUACUCCCACCAGGUGGGAGUAUAUCAUAGUUCUUUAUAAUUCGGAAAAGGGUCGUGAUUAUGUCAGUGGGAGAAUAGCCCAGGUCAUAUAGGGCCUUUAAACCAGCACAAGCAUCAUCAAACUUCCCUUCAAGGACAUUCUGCACCAUAUUCUUCACAUGCAAGGGAUGGGGCUGGUCACAUACCUUGAAGCUUGAAAACAUUCUCUUGAUAGCUAUUUCUGAAGACUAUUAGUAGGUAUCCCUCAUGCGAUUCUUCACAUUUAUAGAAUGCAACCAAUAGAGACAAACUAAAACAUCAGGUCAAUCUGUCAAACAUGAGUGAUGAAGAGAGUGAUAUGUGAGCCUAAAACCUUGAAAACAUUCUCUUGGUUAACAAAACCAAAUCCACU